GUGGGGAAUUUUGGACAAUGGGCGAAAGCCUGAUCCAGCCAUGCCGCGUGCAGGAUGAAGGCCUUCGGGUUGUAAACUGCUUUUGUACGGAACGAAAAGACUUCUUCUAAUACAGGAGGUCCAUGACGGUACCGUAAGAAUAAGCACCGGCUAACUACGUACCAGCAGCCGCGGUAAUACGUAGGGUGCAAGCGUUAAUCGGAAUUACUGGGCGUAAAGCGUGCGCAGGCGGUUAUAUAAGACAGAUGUGAAAUCCCCGGGCUCAACCUGGGAACUGCAUUUGUGACUGUAUAGCUAGAGUACGGUAGAGGGGGAUGGAAUUCCGCGUGUAGCAGUGAAAUGCGUAGAUAUGCGGAGGAACACCGAUGGCGAAGGCAAUCCCCUGGACCUGUACUGACGCUCAUGCACGAAAGCGUGGGGAGCAAACAGGAUUAGAAACCCUGGUAGUCC
rnacentral:rRNA from 1 species